rnacentral:lncRNA from 1 species
CCUUUAAUUUGUUCUUUCUGUCAGCUCUCUUUUGUACUCUGAGGAGAUUCUCUCUGGAUUAUUCCCCAGUCUAUGUAGCUGUGCUCUUCACUUGGAUUCCCAUUACCUGCUAAAAUUUGGAUGCAGCAAAUCCACUUGGAUGAAGGCAGUACUCUGUGAACACAAGGUGCAAGCAGCACAAUCUCUACCCCGUGUACAAAGAACAUCCAUCAAAAUAAAUAUAACAGCCUUGAUAGGAAGAAAGGCCAACUGCAGCCUGGCGUGUCCAGCCCUCCUGCCCAUGUCAGCUGCAUACCAAACUUGAUCUACAAGUCUGCUAAACCGCUAUGGAAAGUGUGAACAGAAGAAAGGGGCAAAGCAGGAUGGACUCCCUUCAUCUUAGUCAGAAAACAUCAUUUGCUAAACAAGCUUUGACAGCCAUAAAAUCUGAGAUGGAGAAGGUACAGACCUCCACAGGUGGUUUGAAUAUUAUGUAAGGAAUGAUUCCUCCUUG